AGAUUAAGUUAUUAAGGGCGCACGGUGGAUGCCUUGGCACUAGAAGCCGAUGAAGGACGUUACUAACGACGAUAUGCUUUGGGGAGCUGUAAGUAAGCUUUGAUCCAGAGAUUUCCGAAUGGGGAAACCCAGCAUGAGUUAUGUCAUGUUAUCGAUAUGUGAAUACAUAGCAUAUCAGAAGGCACACCCGGAGAACUGAAACAUCUUAGUACCCGGAGGAAGAAAAAGAAAAUUCGAUUCCCUUAGUAGCGGCGAGCGAAACGGGAAGAGCCCAAACCAACAAGCUUGCUUGUUGGGGUUGUAGGACACUCUAUACGGAGUUACAAAGGACGACAUUAGACGAAUCAUCUGGAAAGAUGAAUCAAAGAAGGUAAUAAUCCUGUAGUCGAAAAUGUUGUCUCUCUUGAGUGGAUCCUGAGUACGACGGAACACGUGAAAUUCCGUCGGAAUCUGGGAGGACCAUCUCCUAAGGCUAAAUACUCUCUAGUGACCGAUAGUGAACCAGUACCGUGAGGGAAAGGUGAAAAGCACCCCGGAAGGGGAGUGAAAUAGAACCUGAAACCGUGUGCUUACAAGUAGUCAGAGCCCGUUAAUGGGUGAUGGCGUGCCUUUUGUAGAAUGAACCGGCGAGUUACGAUUUGAUGCAAGGUUAAGCAGUAAAUGUGGAGCCGUAGCGAAAGCGAGUCUGAAUAGGGCGUUUAGUAUUUGGUCGUAGACCCGAAACCAGGUGAUCUACCCUUGGUCAGGUUGAAGUUCAGGUAACACUGAAUGGAGGACCGAACCGACUUACGUUGAAAAGUGAGCGGAUGAACUGAGGGUAGCGGAGAAAUUCCAAUCGAACCUGGAGAUAGCUGGUUCUCUCCGAAAUAGCUUUAGGGCUAGCCUCAAGUGAUGAUUAUUGGAGGUAGAGCACUGUUUGGACGAGGGGCCCCUCUCGGGUUACCGAAUUCAGACAAACUCCGAAUGCCAAUUAAUUUAACUUGGGAGUCAGAACAUGGGUGAUAAGGUCCGUGUUCGAAAGGGAAACAGCCCAGACCACCAG
rnacentral:rRNA from 2 species